rnacentral:rRNA from 1 species
UUGUAGAGUUUGAUCAUGGCUCAGAUUGAACGCUGGCGGCAGGCCUAACACAUGCAAGUCGAACGGUAACAGGAAGCAGCUUGCUGCUUCGCUGACGAGUGGCGGACGGGUGAGUAAUGUCUGGGAAACUGCCUGAUGGAGGGGGAUAACUACUGGAAACGGUGGCUAAUACCGCAUAACGUCGCAAGACCAAAGAGGGGGACCUUCGGGCCUCUUGCCAUCAGAUGUGCCCAGAUGGGAUUAGCUUGUUGGUGAGGUAACGGCUCACCAAGGCGACGAUCCCUAGCUGGUCUGAGAGGAUGACCAGCCACACUGGAACUGAGACACGGUCCAGACUCCUACGGGAGGCAGCAGUGGGGAAUAUUGCACAAUGGGCGCAAGCCUGAUGCAGCCAUGCCGCGUGUAUGAAGAAGGCCUUCGGGUUGUAAAGUACUUUCAGCGGGGAGGAAGGUGUUGUGGUUAAUAACCGCAGCAAUUGACGUUACCCGCAGAAGAAGCACCGGCUAACUCCGUGCCAGCAGCCGCGGUAAUACGGAGGGUGCAAGCGUUAAUCGGAAUUACUGGGCGUAAAGCGCACGCAGGCGGUCUGUCAAGUCGGAUGUGAAAUCCCCGGGCUCAACCUGGGAACUGCAUUCGAAACUGGCAGGCUUGAGUCUUGUAGAGGGGGGUAGAAUUCCAGGUGUAGCGGUGAAAUGCGUAGAGAUCUGGAGGAAUACCGGUGGCGAAGGCGGCCCCCUGGACAAAGACUGACGCUCAGGUGCGAAAGCGUGGGGAGCAAACAGGAUUAGAUACCCUGGUAGUCCACGCCGUAAACGAUGUCUACUUGGAGGUUGUGCCCUUGAGGCGUGGCUUCCGGAGCUAACGCGUUAAGUAGACCGCCUGGGGAGUACGGCCGCAAGGUUAAAACUCAAAUGAAUUGACGGGGGCCCGCACAAGCGGUGGAGCAUGUGGUUUAAUUCGAUGCAACGCGAAGAACCUUACCUGGUCUUGACAUCCACAGAAGAAUCCAGAGAUGGAUUGGUGCCUUCGGGAACUGUGAGACAGGUGCUGCAUGGCUGUCGUCAGCUCGUGUUGUGAAAUGUUGGGUUAAGUCCCGCAACGAGCGCAACCCUUAUCCUUUGUUGCCAGCGAUUAGGUCGGGAACUCAAAGGAGACUGCCAGUGAUAAACUGGAGGAAGGUGGGGAUGACGUCAAGUCAUCAUGGCCCUUACGACCAGGGCUACACACGUGCUACAAUGGCGCAUACAAAGAGAAGCGACCUCGCGAGAGCAAGCGGACCUCAUAAAGUGCGUCGUAGUCCGGAUUGGAGUCUGCAACUCGACUCCAUGAAGUCGGAAUCGCUAGUAAUCGUGGAUCAGAAUGCCACGGUGAAUACGUUCCCGGGCCUUGUACACACCGCCCGUCACACCAUGGGAGUGGGUUGCAAAAGAAGUAGGUAGCUUAACCUUCGGGAGGGCGCUUACCACUUUGUGAUUCAUGACUGGGGUGAAGUCGUAACAAGGUAACCGUAGGGGAACCUGCGGUUGGAUCACCUCCUUACCUUAAAGAA